rnacentral:rRNA from 1 species
UACGAAGGGGGCUAGCGUUGUUCGGAAUCACUGGGCGUAAAGCGCACGUAGGCGGAUUGUUAAGUCGGGGGUGAAAUCCCGGAGCUCAACUCCGGAACUGCCUUCGAUACUGACGAUCUUGAGUCCGGGAGAGGUGAGUGGAACUGCGAGUGUAGAGGUGAAAUUCGUAGAUAUUCGCAAGAACACCAGUGGCGAAGGCGGCUCACUGGCCCGGUACUGACGCUGAGGUGCGAAAGCGUGGGGAGCAAACAGG